GACGAACGCUGGCGGCGUGCUUAACACAUGCAAGUCGAACGCUGAAGCACCAGCUUGCUGGUGUGGAUGAGUGGCGAACGGGUGAGUAAUACGUGAGUAACCUGCCCUUGACUCUGGGAUAAGCCCGGGAAACUGGGUCUAAUACUGGAUGCUACAUGUCACCGCAUGGUGGUGUGUGGAAAGGGUUUACUGGUCUUGGAUGGGCUCACGGCCUAUCAGCUUGUUGGUGAGGUAAUGGCUCACCAAGGCGACGACGGGUAGCCGGCCUGAGAGGGUGACCGGCCACACUGGGACUGAGACACGGCGCAGACUCCUACGGGAGGCAGCAGUGGGGAAUAUUGCACAAUGGGCGAAAGCCUGAUGCAGCGACGCCGCGUGAGGGAUGACGGCCUUCGGGUUGUAAACCUCUUUCAGCAGGGAAGAAGCCACAAGUGACGGUACCUGCAGAAGAAGCGCCGGCUAACUACGU
rnacentral:rRNA from 1 species